rnacentral:rRNA from 1 species
UACGAAGGGGGCUAGCGUUGCUCGGAUUUACUGGGCGUAAAGGGUGCGUAGGCGGUGGGGUAAGUUUGAGGUGAAAGCUCCGGGCUCAACCCGGAAAAUGCCUUGAAAACUAUCCGGCUAGAGGGUUGGAGGGGAGACUGGAAUUCUCGGUGUAGCAGUGAAAUGCGUAGAUCUCGAGAGGAACACCAGUGGCGAAGGCGGGUCUCUGGACAACACCUGACGCUGAGGCACGAAAGCCAGGGGAGCAAACGGG